rnacentral:rRNA from 1 species
AUGCGUGUUGGAGAAUAUUUCAGUUCGAAAUGCACUUCAGAGAUCCCUGCGUCGAAAGGUUGCCUUUCCACCUGGAAAAUGAGCAACAUGCGGCUCAACUGCACAACAAAUGAUGAAUACGAGAAACAAAAGGUAGCAGAAUUUGCAGAGUGGAUUCUCAAUAUCGGCGAUGGAAAAAAUACAUCAUCAGAAGGUGAGGAAUUGAUAAAAAUACCAAAUGACAUACUUCUCAAGAAAGUAGAUGAUCCCAAAAAAACAGUUGUGGAGAGCAUAUAUCCCAAUUUGCAGGAGAGGUAUCGCCAACGAGAAUACUUAGAAGAAAGAACAAUAUUAUGUCCAAGAAAUGAAACAGUUCGCGAUAUAAAUAAGUAUAUAAUGGAUCAGAUACAAGUAUGCAAAGCAACUACCUUCAAUGCAGAAACAGAAUUAUUAUAUCCAACGGAAUUCUUGAAUAGCUUACCAUUUCCUGGAAUCCCAAAUCACGAGUUGAAAUUAAAAGUCGGCAUACCUGUUAUGCUACUACGUAAUAUCAACCAAGGUGCUGGCUUAUGCAAUGGUACAAGGAUGACGAUUACUCAGCUUGGAAGAAGAUUCAUUGAAGCACAGAUAAUAACUGGAACCCAUGUGGGAGAAAAGGUAUAUGUUCCAAGAAUAGUGAUGUCACCAACUGAAUCAGCGUGGCCAUUUGUUCUAAAAAGGAGACAAUAUCCUAUAUCAGUUUGCUUUGCUAUGACUAUAAACAAGAGCCAGGGACAAUCUCUAAGCAGAGUAGGAUUAUAUCUGCCUAAACAAGUUUUCACACAUGGACAGUUAUACGUAGCCUUCUCAAGAGUAACAAAAAGGGAGGGACUGCGGGUAAUGGUAGACGAUGAAGAUAGCAAUGAGGAUGAUGUGGUCAAGAACAUAGUCUAUACAGAAAUAUUCUAA